rnacentral:rRNA from 1 species
CGCGUAGGCGGCCAUUCAAGUCAGGCGUGAAAGCCCCGGGCUCAACCUGGGAGGUGCGCUUGGGACUGAGUGGCUGGAGUUCGGGAGAGGAGCGUGGAAUUCCCAGUGUAGAGGUGAAAUUCGUAGAUAUUGGGAAGAACAUCGGUGGCGAAGGCGGCGCUCUGGACCGAGACUGACGCUGAGGCGCGAAGGCGUGGGGAGCAAACA